GAGUUCUGGAAAAUGGACCAACAGCCUUAACAUCUCACCUCACUGCCUUCCAAAAUAUGUCUUAUCUCUUGUGGAGAGAAUGUGACAAAAAAGAAUCCAGAACAAGCUCGGGAGGUCUUCGGCCCUGGACCACUCCACCAUUUGAAGCAAGAACUCAGUGCCUGCUAAGCGAUGAGACUGGCAUUUCGAGGUGCAUUGCUGUGGAAGGGACAGCUCUGGGAGAUGAUGGGCCCAGGGGGAAAA